rnacentral:rRNA from 1 species
CAGCAGCCGCGGUAAAACCAGCACCUCAAGUGGUCAGGAUGAUUAUUGGGCCUAAAGCAUCCGUAGCCGGCUCUGUAAGUUUUCGGUUAAAUCUGUACGCUCAACGUACAGGCUGCCGGGAAUACUGCAGAGCUAGGGAGUGGGAGAGGUAGACGGUACUCGGUAGGAAGGGGUAAAAUCCUUUGAUCUAUCGAUGACCACCUGUGGCGAAGGCGGUCUACCAGAACACGUCCGACGGUGAGGGAUGAAAGCUGGGGGAGCAAACCGGAUUAGAUACCCGGGUAGUCCCAGCUGUAAACUAUGCAAACUCAGUGAUGCAUUGGCUUGUGGCCAAUGCAGUGCUGCAGGGAAGCCGUUAAGUUUGCCGCCUGGGAAGUACGUACGCAAGUAUGAAACUUAAAGGAAUUGGCGGGUGAGCAC